rnacentral:rRNA from 2 species
GACGAACCGUGCGAACGUUGUUCGGAUUCACUGGGCUUAAAGGGCGCGUAGGCGGUGGACCAAGUCCGGGGUGAAAUCUUUCGGCUCAACCGGAAAAGUGCCUCGGAUACUGGUUCACUGGAGGGAGGUAGGGGUGCGCGGAACUUCCGGUGGAGCGGUGAAAUGCGUAGAUAUCGGAAGGAACGCCGGUGGCGAAAGCGGCGCACUGGACCUCUUCUGACGCUGAGGCGCGAAAGCUAGGGGAGCAAACGGG